GAUGUUGUUUUUAAACCUAAAUUUUUUUCCUGUUAGAAACAUAUCAAAUGGAUAGUAAGAUUAUAGUGGGUAGUAUUUCCUGAAUACUACCUACCAGGCAUUGGCAUUAUGCCCUUCCUUUCUUUUUUUUUUUUUUUUUUUUUUUUUUCUGAGACAGAGUUUUGCUGUUGUUGCCCAGGCUGGAGUGCAGUGGCGCGAUCUCAGCUCACUGCAACCUCUGCCCCCUGGGUUCAAGUGAUCUCCUCCCUCAGCCUCCCAAGUGAGUAGCUGGGAUUAUAGGCGCCCACCACCAAGCCCGACUAAUUUUCUUGUAUCUUUAGUAGAGACGGUUUUCACCAUGUUGGCCAG
rnacentral:lncRNA from 10 species